UUAGCCGUAAACACAAAAAAUUCAUAACAAAAUUUUUUGCCAGAGAACUACUAGCAACAGCUUAAAACUCAAAGGACUUGGCGGUGCUUCACAACCAUCUAGAGGAGCCUGUUCUAUAAUCGAUAAUCCCCGAUAAACCUCACCACUUUUUGCUAAUCCAGCCUAUAUACCGCCAUCUCCAGCAAACCCUAACAAGGAACAAAAGUGAGCACAAGUAUCACACAUAAAUACGUUAGGUCAAAGUGUAGCCAAUAAAGUAAGAGGAAAUGAGCUACGUUUUCUAACCAAGAACAUCCACGAUGAUCUUUAUNAAANCUAAAGAUCUAAGGAGGAUUUAGU
rnacentral:rRNA from 1 species